GAAAACCCACAUCAUUAAUUUACGAUGCCAGCCUAUGACUAAGAAAAAUUUCAAUUUAUCAAACAGUUACCAAUCACAAAACACAACCCAAGUACUAAUAACCAACAACUAAAAAAAAAAAAUCAACUUCAAGAAAAUCAACCCCACCCAUAAACCAACUGAUUAUACCUAUCCCAAAUCCACUUGAAGCUCUUCGUAAAAGACCUUUUAACUUUGCCUUCAACAGAGUAGGCCUUAUAGCUUGCAACCCUCUUCUUUCUCUCGAACUCAAGGUCAGUGAAGCCCCAAGAAGGCCCUCUUGUGCUUUUCCCUUUCUUCAACUUCAAAUCCUUCACACCACCCAUAUGGGUUUGUGGUAAGUCAUAGGAAGAAGAAGCGUACGAGGCACUGUGAGACCUGAGGUCAAUGGGGUUUGAACUGGGUGGUCUGUGGCCAUGGUAGCUCUGAAUCUGCAUCCUUCCAUCAGUGUAUGACUUUGAUUUGUAAUCUCCCAUGGGUUCAAUGAGAGAUCGAUCAAAUUUGGGAAUUGGUGUCGUGAUUUUAGAGCAGGUGGGGAAGAAUGGAAAGUUUACAAUGCCGGUGACCGAAGAUGUGCCCCAAGUUGCUACCUUCACAUGAUAUAUUCCCAAUGUGUAUUGGCCUAUUUUUUUUAAAAAAAAAAAAUUUAGGUGUUUUGUUUUUUAAGUUCUUU
rnacentral:lncRNA from 1 species